AAGACUAUACUUUCAGAGAUCAUUUCUAUAGUUUGUUACUAGAGAAGUUUCUCUGAAUGUAUAGUAUUAAAAAAU
ensembl:snoRNA U3 Small nucleolar RNA U3